rnacentral:rRNA from 1 species
AUGGCCUGGGUAGUAGUAGGUGAUUUCAACAAAAGUAAGCUGAAUUCGGAAAAAGAGGGAGGGAAUCCCCGUCCCAUGCACAUGCUGAAGGCGUUCAGAGACUGCCUUGACGACUGUGAGCUACAGGAUAUGGACUAUAUUGGGGAUAAAUACACCUGGAGACGCGCUGAUGUUCGUGAGCGACUUGACCGUACUGUGUGUAAUACACAAUGGACAUCAGAUUAUCCCAAUACAACUGUCAUCCACGAGAAGCAUCACAGGUCUGACCAUAGGCCUAUUUUGGUCGACACGAAAUUUUAUAAGACUGGCCAGAUUAGGCGUCGUUCCGGGGGGAGAAAAUUUGAAGCUAGAUGGUUAUCUGAAGAAACUGUAGACGAAGUGGUUGCUACUGCAUGGGCGAAGGCAAAUCUGAGAGGUUUGGGUCCAAGUCUGGCUUCACGAACCCAUGCGGUACACAAUGACCUUCAUAGUUGGGAUAAAUCUAUUCUGAAAGGUCCAAAAAAUCGUAUCAAGAAGUUGAAUAAAGAAUUAGAGAAAAUUAGACAUGGUGCAUUGUCGCCAGCUUCUUGGGCGAGACAGAAGGAAUUACAAUUGCUUAUUGACAAUUUAUUGGAACAUGAGGAGAUUCAUUGGCUUCAAAGUGGGCGUGCUAAUUGGCUGAUGCAUGGAGAGCAGAACACCUCUUUCUUUCAUAAUGCUGCCACUGCACGUGAAAAAAGAAAUCUGAUUAAAAGGCUCCUAGAUGACACGGGGGUCUGGAAGGAGGGUAAUGAACUCUAG